rnacentral:lncRNA from 1 species
GCCGCACCGCCGCCCGCGCGACGCCGUGCGCUCCGCCGCUGCUCCGCUCAGCUCGGUCUCCCUCUCGCCCAACUCGCUGUUCCAGAGCUGCUGUCCAACCCCUGUUCCGCCUCUGUCCAGCUCGUGCAAGACCCGCCGGAGCUUCCUCCGACCACCUCCGGCCACCGUGAAGACUCGCCUUGGUCUUGUUCAGCUCCUCCGCCCAUUCCCGAGCUCAACCAGCCCCGGAUCCGCCCACCUUCGCCUCCAACCAGCAGCGAUCAGAGGACUGCAGAAAUGGGUUUGCAGCAACUGUUUGGCCCGUUUUGGCCGCCUUCCCGAGCCCGGAUGCUCGGCCCGCUUUGAGGAAAGUUGAUCCUCGCGUCGAGCCCGUCGUUUUGAGUGAGUUUUACUCACUAAUGCCUCCUUAGUGUGCUAAUUACACUUAAAGGUUGAUUAGUUUUAAUUAAAUGUAAUUAGGUUGUUAUAUUAGAAUUGAUUAGUGAUUAUUAGUUAAUUGCUUUGCAUAUUAGUUGUGUGGUUAGUGUAAUUAGAUAGUGAAUUGCAUGUAGUAUUUAUUGGGUGCUUCUUGGGAUUUUUCCCGUCCCUUAUCGGGUGUUAAUUAAGCAAAUCGGGCCUAGGUGGAAUUUUUAGGAAUUAAAUAUUAAUUUUGGAAAUUAAUUAUUUAAUGAUUUAUUUCCCGGAAAUUCAACUGGGAUGGCUAGUGACCGGGAUUUUAUGCUGAUGAUGGUGGCGCAGACCGUUUAUUUAAUUGAGCUUUAUAUUGUGCUAAAUUGAAUUUAUUGUAUUUAUUUAUUUAAUUUUCGAAAUUAAUUAUUUAAUUAUUUAUUUUCCGGAAAUUCAACUGGGAUGGCCAGUGACCGGAAUUUCGUGCUGAUUGUCGUGGUGCAGUCCGUUUAUUUAAUUGAACCAUAUUUCAUGAUGAAUUGAAUUAUUUGUGAAAGAAGGAAUUAUUCUUUAAUUGAAUAAUCUUUGGUUAUUAAUUGAAAAAUAACUGGGCUUUGGUUGAUAAUGCCAAAAGGAUCUGAGUGGGCUACAGAUAAUGGUGGGAUUUGUGGAAAGGAAAUUAUAUUAUUUUGGCUAAGGCCGACCGUGUGCCCACGCACGGGUAUUUUUAUUAGAAAGGAUAAAAAUGGUGAUUUGAUUAAAGGAUUAUUCCGGCAUACUAUAAAAGUAUGGUUGGCAGCUUCUGGUGAGAAUUUGGGGUAUACUAUAUCGGCCUUCGGGCGAUAUGUCAGCUUUGGGUGAGCAGUAUACCAGUAUACUAUAUCAUCCUACGGGCUCUGAUAUGUCAGCUUUGGGUGAGCAGUAUACUUUAUUAUCAGCUUUGGGUGAGCAUAUGGUAUACUAUAUCGGCCUUCGGGCGAUAUGUCAGCUUUGGGUGAGCAGUAUACCGGUAUACUAUAUCGACCUACGGGCGAUAUGCCAGCUUUGGGUGAGCAGUAUACCUUAUUAUCAGCUUUGGGUGAGCUAUUCUAUCUAUAUAUCAGCUUAGAGUGAGCAGUCCUGAUUUGAUAGGACUUUAUAGAUAGUAUUGAAUAUGCCGACCAAGUAUGGGUCGUGAUGGUAUAUAAUCGACUAGGUCGAUUGAUCAUUGCUUGAUCUGAUGUUGUGAAUUGAUCGAUUGAUUGGAAAUGACCAUGAGAUGGUCUGAUUGACAUGUAAUCGACUAGGUCGAUGAUCGAUGAUUCGAUCUGAGAGUGUCUUGAUGUGAUUCAUUGCCUUGGUUUGAUGUUGUGAAUUGAAUGAUUGAAGGGAGAUGAUCGUGAGUGGUCUUCCUGAUGUGAAAUCGACUAAGUCGAUUAGAUCGAUGCUUCGAUCUGUGAUGUAAUUGCUUGUGUGCCUAUUCGAUCUGUACUAAUAUGCAGGUGGAAUCUGAGGCUAAGGUACGUCCUCUGACUCAUGUUGUGCAUAGGCAGCCCUAAGGUGUAUUAGUUUACUAAUCGGGUCUUAGGAGGUAGAACUUGCUGAGACGUGGUCUCAGUGGUUAUUGAAUAACCAUUUCAGGACUUGGAUGAGGAGCCUAAGGAGCAUGAAUCUGAUGAGGAGGUCCCUGAUGAGGAACCCGAAGAGGAGUACGUGGAGGAGGACCCCGAGUACGACCUGGAUGAGGACUAAGAUCCCGUCUUGUCUUGUCAGUCUUUGUUUGCAUGUAAAAAGAUGUAGUUGUGAAUUUUCAGCAAGAAAAAUAUAUGGCCUGCUUUUCUAUCCCAUUGCUUUAUUGUCUGGGGAUUUAUAACUGCUUCCGCAUGUGCAUAUAUAAAAGAAAGGGUCGGCGAUACAUAGUCCUGGGAUAUCGCAUUUUUAAAUCGACCAAAAGUAAGGGAUGUGUGCGUGCCUGAGGGUCGGGGCGUGACAUCCCCUUUUUGUGGUAUCAGAGCAAUGGUUAGGUAUUGGAGUGAUAAGGUGCGAUGACCUAUGGGAUAGUAGUUAGAAAGGCCUUUAAAUUCAUGACUGGUGCAUGUGUUUGAUAGUUGAUUGGUAGAAUUGUUUGUCAUGUGUAAAUCGAUUGCUUCUAAUCGUUGUGGAUUCGGAAGGCAGAGUGUUGACUCUGGCCAGUUUGAGCGUAAGAGUGCCACCGCGGGUUGGUACUAGUGUAGCAGCAUUGAUUGAUCUUAAGCUCGAUAAGAUUGAUUUGAUGCAAGUGUUUCUUCGGAUCUGGAUGAGCCAGUAAGAUCAGAAUCAAGUUGUUGUUGUUGCUACCUUUGUUGAGGUCCAACCUGGAAGGAUAAUCAGGGAACAGAUUUUGAUAUCUGAGUCAAGAUUCAGUGCAAGCAGAUUGGGAAUUCGGUCAGGGUAAAGACUGAUGUUGAGAGAAUGAUAUUCUAUUCCACCCAAUAGGAGGGGUGGCAUAGGCAGGUCAGCCUUCAGAUUAAUGGAACAUGUGUUCUAUGGAAGAUGGUAUGAAUCAGUCUCGUGUAUUUUGAGGACAGGAAAUUGUGGUAAGUGUCGCCAGUACGGACAGUGAUUUAUGGUGUAUCCGCAUAAGAAGAUGGAAUCUUGACAACGGUUACUGCUGUCACUGUUGGUAGAGCAGUUCAGGAGAAGUGCGCCAUAGAACGCACUGUGGAAUUGCUGGGAUAGGUCUCUGGCACAAGAAGUAGUGCAUCCUAGCACUUGUCAAGAGGUAAAAGACUCACCAGAUAGGUGUCGAAAUGGUGGAAGAAAACCUGGAUGAAUUCAGUACCCAGGUAUGGUGAGAAGAACGGAAAUGGAACCGACCUGGCACUAGGCAGAGGAAGAAUGUUUUGGGGGAAAAUUCUAUCAGAGUAUCGUAGCAGAGUUUGGAUGAAGUUUGGGGAACUUCAGUUUAUUGAAAUAAGUGGAAGAAAGGGGAAUCACCAGUUAUUGUUCUUUGGAUUAAUAGAACCGAAGGUACGGAUGUGAAGAUUGAUGAAUGAGGAAUUCAUGCAUAUUAAUGCAUCGCUUUAAGGAACAUCAGUUUUGUGGAAAGAGAAAUGAAAAUGGUUCAUUGCAAUCAUGCAUCAACCAUUGUCAACUUAAUUGGGUGACUUGUUAUAAAGAGUGUUGAUGUCUUCAAGGAUCGACUUGAGGACAGGUUAUCUUCAGUUGAGAACCAGGAAAGAAGUUAUACUGAAGACAACACUUCGCACUUGAUUUAGCCUUGGGAGAAUAAUGUAAAGUCAGUUGAUUUGAUGAACGCUUCAGCCGCUGUCAUAGACUUGACAAGCCGAGUAUUCAAAGAAUAUCUAGAUCAAUGGUGAUCGUGUGGUGUAGUGACAUUCUAGGGUGUUCAUUAAGUGAUGAAGAUCACAAGAGCCCUUAAGAAUGGUCAUGUGAUUACAAGUUAAGGAAUCUUCAUGGACCCAUCCAAGAUUGAAUAAGUUGUUUAUGGAUCGAGACCGACAUCAAUGUCAGAGAUCAGAAGCUGUGGGGAUUGGACAGAUUACCACAUAAGGUUUGUGAAAGAAUUUUCAGCAUCAAUACCAUCGUGGGCUUGAUCUCUUAAGAAAGAAGAGAAAUUCAUCAACAUAGACAAGUACGAGGAUAGUUUCCAAAGCUUAAGUAAGAAUUGACUAUCGUACUUGUGCUAAACUUUUCAUUUAGCCCUGGAAAGCACGAAAUCUUCACUGAUGUGUCUUGCAAAGGAUGGGUAUGCAUUGAUACAACAUGAGAAGAUUGUUGUAUCAUCGUUCCGCCAGUUGAGACCAAUAAGUGGAAUACGAAGCGGUGUCGUGAACCAGAAUUUUGGCAGAACUAUAAUAGUGAUAUCGGGUAUCACCUUGGAGGAACGAAAUGAGUCAUUAAUGUGUUGAGCCGAGAGUCUUCAGUUGUGCAUAGAUGGGCUAAAGUGCAGACUUUACUUGAAAAGACUUCGAAGCUUGGUUUUCAAAUUUGAGGUAGGCUACCUUUUGAAUUUUAUAGCCACCCUCAAGAUUGAACCAAAUGUUCAAGUUAGAAUUGGUGUCUAGUUGGCAGAUAAAUAUGUUCAGAAGAUCUUAUAAGAGGAUACUGGUAAGAAAGAACAUGACUCUAAGAUUUCUGAGGAUGGAAAGUUCAGGUUCCAUGAGUGAUUGAAUACACUUAACAGUGUAGCACUCAGGGAAUAGAUCUUGUGUUGAGUGUGUAACAUCCAUGUUUCGGGCUCUGAUUUCGAUUAGAUAAAUUGGGCAUUUCAUCGACGCGAUUACAGUGUUUUUCUCUGAGUUGGCCACUCAUGAGAUAACUAGACUAGCUGGGUGAGUUAUUAAGGACCUUAAGGCAAAUAGACUUGAGAAUUCGACCAUGGAUCGACUUCUCGACCGUGCUCAUCUUUAGAGAUCAUUGCGGCACAGUAUAAAACCCGAUUUGAAAUCAAAGAUAGAUCAGUUCGAUUGAGAUGAAUGACCGAUCGUGGGUGACUCCACUAAAUUGGAAAAUUCUCAUCGACCGAUACUAAUUUGAUGUUCUAUCGUCUUGGCGCCCUGUGUCCGUAUUUGAAUCUUUGAGAUUUUCACGACAAUCGAGAGUCACCAAUGGGUCGAAUGGGUUUAUUGUGGCUCGAAGAAAAUCGACCACGGGUCAUUUGUCCUAAAAAGCUCUGAACACUAUCCAGUAGCCUAGGUCACACUAAAAGCGUGUCGGAGUGAAAUUAACCGCCAAUCUAAGUUCGAUUUCAGAAAUUGAAGAUUCUGUCUUGUCACAGAGUGGGUAUACCGAAGUGUGUGUGCAUUAGAUAAUUUGCCGGCAUGGAGUGCCGAGGAUGAAUUAUAUUUUGAAUCUAGCUCAGAGAUUAUAGAUUUGGCAAAGUUUUCAGAGGGUUCUUUAUUGAGCAAUGUAUAGCAGAUGGUACAGAAUUUCAGUGAUGAAAAGAAAGUGAAGAAGAUUUCAAGCCAAAGUCAGUACAGUAGUCAAUGAUUGCAGUUGUCAAGAUCAGUGCUAGAGUUAUAUUAGAUCUUGACCAGAGGUUCCCAGUUUCAGCAGAUCAGUCAGAUAGUUUCCUUUUAAUCAGUGCAGAGCAAAGUGUACAGGAUUUCAGUCGGUUGGGAUGAGAUCAGAAAUCAGAAAAUCGCAAGUCCGAAGUCAGCUCAGUAAUCGAUGUUUGCAGUUGUCAAAUCAGUAUCAGAGUAAAGACUGUUCAGAACUGUCAAAAAUUUUGAAUCGUUGAGGUUCAAAGGUUUAUUAGGGAAUCGAGAAAAAAGAGAUCAGAUGUGGGUGACAGAGUGUCUUAUGUGAGAAGCUCAGUUCAGUUAUUGGUUUAGAAAGACCAGAGUUUAUGUACCAAGACGAUCUCCUUAAUCAAAAUGGUCGGACAGCACCAUGAGACCGAAGGAUUAACAUGGAGUAGUGAGACUCGAUGAGACGACAAUACCCCCACAUUUUGUAUAAGGAUUGGUAAAAGUUUAAAUUUCGAGGACGAAAUUUUUAUAAGAGGGGAAGAGUUGUGACAUCCAGAUUUUCGGGUUUUAAUUCGACUGGAUAAAUAGGGCCGCUUUGGUUCAGUUGAAGCUAAGGAUUGUGGAAUUGGGAUGCAAGUGGGCUAUAUUGGUAAGGAAAAAUACCAAUUGGAAUGACGAGGUGUUAAAUGAAAUUAUGGGAGUCAAUUUAAAUUGAAUCAAGAGGGAUUAAGGUCCAAUUGGGAAGAGAACUUGGCAAAAUUCGUAUGCCACCUCUACCCCAAACUUUGGCCUACCUAAAUGCUUCUAGAAGGGGGUAGUUUUGGGCUAGAAAUGUGGGUGGAUGACAGCCAUGGUGGCCCACGUAUGGCUGACCUAAGAGAGAGAGAGAGUGAGAGAAAGAGAAAGAAAAUUUGGUUUUCUCUUCUUCCCUUCCCUCUCCCGUCGUUGUCUCUCUCUUCCUUCAUCUUCUUCUUUGGUUGUGCGACGCCAUGGAAGCCGAAGAAGCCGAAGCAGCAGCAGCAGCUUCGCCCGUCGCCGCCUCUCGCCACCGCCGUCGGACGCCCGCAAGCACCAGAGCUGCUCGCGCACCCGAGCCCGCUGCCGUGCUGCCGUCUGCACAUCUCCGCCCCCUCUCCCUCCUCUGGUUCGAACAGGACCGAAUGGCAGAACCAGAAGCAGCAACCAUCGUCGGUUGAAGGAGCUGCAAUCACGCAGGAGCUGCCUUCGCCGUCGUGCCGGAACGCUGAUGCCGUCCGCCUCCUGCCCGCCCGCUUGAACGCCGUCCACCCUCUGUCUUCCUCUCCGUUCGUUUCUCGGGGUUCCAGAUCUUGGAAGACACCGGAGUUGGGGCAGCAGCUGGCGUUGUUGGACCGGUGCUGCCGCACCGCCGCCCGCGCGACGCCGUGCGCUCCGCCGCUGCUCCGCUCAGCUCGGUCUCCCUCUCGCCCAACUCGCUGUUCCAGAGCUGCUGUCCAACCCCUGUUCCGCCUCUGUCCAGCUCGUGCAAGACCCGCCGGAGCUUCCUCCGACCACCUCCGGCCACCGUGAAGACUCGCCUUGGUCUUGUUCAGCUCCUCCGCCCAUUCCCGAGCUCAACCAGCCCCGGAUCCGCCCACCUUCGCCUCCAACCAGCAGCGAUCAGAGGACUGCAGAAAUGGGUUUGCAGCAACUGUUUGGCCCGUUUUGGCCGCCUUCCCGAGCCCGGAUGCUCGGCCCGCUUUGAGGAAAGUUGAUCCUCGCGUCGAGCCCGUCGUUUUGAGUGAGUUUUACUCACUAAUGCCUCCUUAGUGUGCUAAUUACACUUAAAGGUUGAUUAGUUUUAAUUAAAUGUAAUUAGGUUGUUAUAUUAGAAUUGAUUAGUGAUUAUUAGUUAAUUGCUUUGCAUAUUAGUUGUGUGGUUAGUGUAAUUAGAUAGUGAAUUGCAUGUAGUAUUUAUUGGGUGCUUCUUGGGAUUUUUCCCGUCCCUUAUCGGGUGUUAAUUAAGCAAAUCGGGCCUAGGUGGAAUUUUUAGGAAUUAAAUAUUAAUUUUGGAAAUUAAUUAUUUAAUGAUUUAUUUCCCGGAAAUUCAACUGGGGAACAGCGAUGGCNNNNNNNNNNNNNNNNNNNNNNNNNNNNNNNNNNNNNNNNNNNNNNNNNNNNNNNNNNNNNNNNNNNNNNNNNNNNNNNNNNNNNNNNNNNNNNNNNNNNCAGGGCGGGGAACUUUGUCGUGCAAGACCCGCCGGAGCUUCCUCCGACCACCUCCGGCCACCGUGAAGACUCGCCUUGGUCUUGUUCAGCUCCUCCGCCCAUUCCCGAGCUCAACCAGCCCCGGAUCCGCCCACCUUCGCCUCCAACCAGCAGCGAUCAGAGGACUGCAGAAAUGGGUUUGCAGCAACUGUUUGGCCCGUUUUGGCCGCCUUCCCGAGCCCGGAUGCUCGGCCCGCUUUGAGGAAAGUUGAUCCUCGCGUCGAGCCCGUCGUUUUGAGUGAGUUUUACUCACUAAUGCCUCCUUAGUGUGCUAAUUACACUUAAAGGUUGAUUAGUUUUAAUUAAAUGUAAUUAGGUUGUUAUAUUAGAAUUGAUUAGUGAUUAUUAGUUAAUUGCUUUGCAUAUUAGUUGUGUGGUUAGUGUAAUUAGAUAGUGAAUUGCAUGUAGUAUUUAUUGGGUGCUUCUUGGGAUUUUUCCCGUCCCUUAUCGGGUGUUAAUUAAGCAAAUCGGGCCUAGGUGGAAUUUUUAGGAAUUAAAUAUUAAUUUUGGAAAUUAAUUAUUUAAUGAUUUAUUUCCCGGAAAUUCAACUGGGAUGGCUAGUGACCGGGAUUUUAUGCUGAUGAUGGUGGCGCAGACCGUUUAUUUAAUUGAGCUUUAUAUUGUGCUAAAUUGAAUUUA